rnacentral:rRNA from 1 species
UACGGAGGGUGCGAGCGUUGUUCGGAAUCACUGGGCGUAAAGGGCGUGUAGGCGGUCCGCUAAGUCUGAUGUGAAAGCCCGGGGCUCACCCCCGGAAGGGCAUUGGAAACUGGCGGACUCGAGUCCCGGAGAGGAGGGUGGAAUUCCUGGUGUAGCGGUGAAAUGCGUAGAUAUCGAGAGGAACACCUGCGGCGAAGGCGGGUUGCUGGGCCGACACUGACGCUGAUGCGCGAAAGCCAGGGGAGCGAACGGG